CCAGAAGGGAAGAAGUAUUCUUUCAUUGGUUGUUGUGUGUUGCCUUGUCAACCAAUCAGAGGAUGCCAUUUAUCCUUUUCUG
rnacentral:pre_miRNA from 1 species